rnacentral:rRNA from 1 species
UCGCGAAAACUUGUCAAUGGGGGAAACCCCGAACAGGGAAGUCCAAGUGCAUGCGUUUUACGUAUGCUGUUCGGUUGUCUAAAACACAGCUGAAGUAAGGGCUGGGUAAGACAGGUGCCAGCCGCCGCGGUAAUACCUGCAGCCCAAGUGGUAAUCGUUAUUAUUGAGCCUAAAGCGUCCGUAGCCGGUUUGGUAAACCCUCGGGUAAAUCGGGCAGCUUAACUGUCCGAAUUCCGGGGGGACUGCCAGACUUGGGACCGGGAGAGGUCAGAGGUACUUCAGGGGUAGGGGCUAAAUCCUGUAAUCCUUGAAGGACCACCAGUGGCGAAGGCGUCUGACUAGAACGGAUCCGACGGUAAGGGACGAAACCCUGGGGCGCAAACCGGAUUAGAUACCCGGGUAGUCCAGGGCGUAAACGCUGCAGGCUUGGUGUUGGGGACCCCAGAGGGUGCUCAGUGCCGGAGUGAAGAUGUUAAGCCUGCCGCUUGGGGGAUACGUCCGCAAGGAUGAAACUUAAAGGAAUUGGCGGGGGAGCACCGACAAGGGGUGAAGCUUGCGGUUUAAUGG